rnacentral:rRNA from 1 species
AGUCUGGUGCCAGCAGCCGCGGUAAUUCCAGCUCCAAUAGCGUAUAUUAAAGUUGUUGCAGUUAAAAAGCUCGUAGUUGGAUCUGGGGUUCGGGUCGGCGGUUUGCCGCUUCGGCGGCUACUGCCGUGCUCGACUCUUACUAGCCGGUGCGUCUUGCGGUGCUCUUCAUCGAGUGCCGUAGGAGCCUGGCAUGUUUACUUUGAAAAAAUUAGAGUGCUCAAAGCAGGCGAUUCCGCCUGAAUAGUGUUGCAUGGAAUAAUGGAAUAGGACCUCGGUUCUAUUUUGUUGGUUUUCGGAACUUGAGGUAAUGAUUAAGAGGGACGGUCGGGGGCAUUCGUAUUUCGGUGUUAGAGGUGAAAUUCUUGGAUCGCUGAAAGACGGACAAAUGCGAAAGCAUCCGCCAAGAACGUCUCCAUUAAUCAAGAACGAAAGUCAGAGGUUCGAAGACGAUCAGACACCGUCCUAGUUCUGACCAUAAACGAUGCCAACUAGCGAUCCGCAGUGGUUGCUAUAAACGGACUCUGCGAGCAGCUUCCGGGAAACCAAAGUGUUUGGGUUCCGGGGGAAGUAUGGUUGCAAAGCUGAAACUUAAAGGAAUUGACGGAAGGGCACCAUCAGGAGUGGAGCCUGCGGCUUAAUUUGACCCAACACGGGGAAACUCACCCGGUCCGGACACUGUAAGGAUUGACAGAUCGAGAGCUCUUUCUUGAUUCGGCGGAUGGUGGUGCAUGGCCGUUCUUAGUUGGUGGAGUGAUUUGUCUGGUUAAUUCCGAUAACGAACGAGACUCUAGCCUGCUAACUAGUUGCGCCGUGUUCAUACGCGGCUGUAGACUUCUUAGAGGGACAGGUGGCGUUUAGCCACACGAGAUUGAGCAAUAACAGGUCUGUGAUGCCCUUAGAUGUCCGGGGCCGCACGCGCGCUACACUGAAGGAGUCAGCGUGUGCUAUCCGGGCUCGGAAGAGUUCGGUAACCCGUUGAAACUCCUUCGUGCUUGGGAUUGUGGCUUGUAAUUAUCGCGCAUGAACGAGGAAUUCCCAGUAAGUGCAAGUCAUCAGCUUGCGCUGACUACGUCCCUGCCCUUUGUACACACCGCCCGUCGCUACUACCGAUUGAAUGGUUUAGCAAGGUACUCGGAUUGGUCUCGAUCUUGUACGAAAGUGCGGGAUCUGUGGCCGAGAAGAAGGCCAAACUUGAUCAUUUAGAGGAAGUAAA